rnacentral:rRNA from 1 species
GACGAACGCUGGCGGCGUGCUUAACACAUGCAAGUCGAACGGAAAGGCCUCUUUCGGGGGGUACUCGAGUGGCGAACGGGUGAGUAACACGUGAGUAACCUGCCCUUGACUUUGGGAUAACUUCAGGAAACUGGGGCUAAUACCGGAUAGGAGCUCCUGCUGCAUGGUGGGGGUUGGAAAGUUUCGGCGGUUGGGGAUGGACUCGCAGCUUAUCAGCUUGUUGGUGGGGUAGUGGCUUACCAAGGCUUUGACGGGUAGCCGGCCUGGGAGGGUGACCGGCCACAUUGGGACUGAGAUACGGCCCAGACUCCUACGGGAGGCAGCAGUGGGGAAUAUUGCACAAUGGGUGGGAGCCUGAUGCAGCAACGCCGUGUGCGGGAUGACGGCCUUCGGGUUGUAAACCGCUUUCGCUCAUGACGAAGCUUUGUGUGACGGUAGUGGGUAAAGAAGCACCGGCUAACUACGUG